rnacentral:rRNA from 1 species
AGAAUCAACGCUGGCGGCGUGCCUAACACAUGCAAGUCGAACGAGAAAGUGGAGCAAUCCAUGAGUAAAGUGGCGCACGGGUGAGUAACACGUGACUAACCUACCCUGGAGUGGGGGAUAACUGAGGGAAACCUUAGCUAAUACCGCAUAAUACCUACGGGUCAAAGGAGCAAUUCGCUUCAGGAGGGGGUCGCGGCCGAUUAGUUAGUUGGCGGGGUAAUGGCCCACCAAGACAGUGAUCGGUAUCCGGCCUGAGAGGGCGCACGGACACACUGGAACUGAAACACGGUCCAGACUCCUACGGGAGGCAGCAGUGGGGAAUUUGCGCAAUGGGGGAAACCCUGACGCAGCAACGCCGCGUGGAGGAUGAAGCCCCUUGGGGCGUAAACUCCUUUCGACCAAGACGAUAAUGACGGUACUGGUGGAAGAAGCACCGGCUAACUCUGUGUCAGCAGCCGC